GCUUACUUAUCCAUCUUUUUUACUAUGCUCAUUUUGAGUUGGGGGUAAGGAGAGUCCUCCACCUUUUAGUCUCUAAUGAUUAAUUUCUCUGCAAAGUUGUUGAAAAAAAAAGAAAAAAGUUGUUAUUUUCAAACCUCUCUACUUAAGAUUAGAUAGUUGUAGUCUUGGGUUACACUAAUUCCUACUGGUUUAGGUUUAAGUUCAACACAUGACCAUAUGAAAGUCUUAGCAACUCAAAGUUAGGCAAUGUAUUUCAAAGCUAUUGAUUGAUGACCCUAAUAGACACAAGUAGAUGUUUUUGUUGUUUUGUUUGAUAUCAAUAAGUGGUUUUCAUCCAAGCAGCUAACAAGAAUUUCAAUGAACUAUAUCUUAAUGGCCUA